rnacentral:rRNA from 1 species
GAUGAACGCUGGCGGCGUGCCUAAUACAUGCAAGUCGAGCGAACAGACGAGGAGCUUGCGCCUCGGACGUUAGCGGCGCACGUGUGAGUAACACGUGGAUACCCUACCUAUAAGACGGGUAUAACUUCGGGACACCGGAGCUAAUCCCGGAUAAUAUAUUGCACCGCAGGGUUCAAUGGUGAAAUACGGUUUUGCUGUCACUUAUAGCUGGAUCCGCGCCGCAUGAGCUAGUUGGUAAGGUACAGGCGUACCAAGGCGACGAUGCGUAGGCGACCGGCGAGGGUGAUCGGCCACACUGGAAGUGAGACACGGCACAGACGCCUACGGGAGGCAGCAGUAGUGAAUCGUCCGCAAUGGGCGAAAGCCUGACGGAGCAACGCCGCGUGAGUGAUGAGCGUCUUCGGAUCGUAAAUCACUGUUAUUGGGGAGGAACAAAUGUUUAAGUAACUAUGCGCGUCUGUACGGUAACUAAUCAGAAAGCCACGGCUAACUUCGUG